rnacentral:tRNA from 1 species
AAAUAAGAAGCAUUUUUGCAUUUAUUUUCGACUUAAAAGAGUGAGUAUUUAACUCCUUAUUUA